UAGGUUGCUCCUAUUGCAUACAAUUUAACAUACUUAUUACAAUAAUAGCAACUAUUUAGCAACAAAAUUUGUCAUGCACAAUAGAAAAAUGUAAAGUUAAAUACAAGUUUUGCAAUUUCUGGUAAAUUGACGUUUUCGCAGUUUACUCACUCUUAACAGAUUUUCCUGGAACAAGAAUUGAGGCCCUGGAACAGAGCAUGUAUAAAGUGGACAACAUGGUAGAAGAAUACAGAUAGUCACAUCGACACAGCUGCUGGGACAAUGAACUGCCGUACCAAUUUUGAAGUUGAAAUAUGUAUAUCAUAACAACUUCCGUUUGGUGUCGUGCAUGGUAGAAGAAUAUAG